rnacentral:tRNA from 1 species
AGCGGUAAGGCAACGGACUUUGACUCCGUCACUCGUUGGUUCGAAUCCAGCUAGCCCAGUUAUUGGCGGCAUAG